rnacentral:rRNA from 1 species
ACUCAAAUGAAUUGACGGGGGCCCGCACAAGCAGCGGAGCGUGUGGUUUAAUUCGAUGCAACGCGCAGAACCUUACCGGGGUUUGACAUGCUCGAGUAAGCUCCAGAGAUGGAGUCCUCCUUCGGGACCCGAGCACAGGUGCUGCAUGGCUGUCGUCAGCUCGUGCCGUGAGGUGUUGGGUUAAGUCCCGCAACGAGCGCAACCCUCGCCGCUAGUUGUAUCUUUCUAGCGGGACCGCUGCGCAAAACGCAGAGGAAGGUGGGGACGACGUCAAGUCAUCAUGGCCUUUAUGCCCCGGGCUACACACACGCUACAAUGGACGGUACAGACGGUCGCGAAGCCGCGAGGUGAAGCCAAUCCGACAAAGCCGUCCCCAGUACAGAUUGCAGGCUGCAACUCGCCUGCAUGAAGGUGGAGUUGCUAGUAACCGCAGGUCAGCACACUGCGGUGAAUACGUUCCCGGGCCUUGUACACACCGCCCGU